UGCAACUCGACUCCGUGAAGCUGGAUUCGCUAGUAAUCGCGCAUCAGCCAUGGCGCGGUGAAUACGUUCCCGGGCCUUGUACACACCGCCCGUCAAGCCAUGGGAGCCGGGGGUACCUGAAGUCCGUAACCGCGAGGAUCGGCCUAGGGUAAAACUGGUGACCGGGGCUAAGUCGUAACAAGGUACC
rnacentral:rRNA from 1 species